rnacentral:rRNA from 1 species
UACGUAGGGUGCAAGCGUUGUCCGGAAUUAUUGGGCGUAAAGAGCUCGUAGGCGGUCUGUCGCGUCGGCUGUGAAAACUCGGGGCUCAACCCCGAGCCUGCAGUCGAUACGGGCAGACUAGAGUGCUGUAGGGGAGACUGGAAUUCCUGGUGUAGCGGUGAAAUGCGCAGAUAUCAGGAGGAACACCGGUGGCGAAGGCGGUGGCUGGGCCGGCACUGACGGCUGAGGAGCGAAAGCGUGGGGAGCGAACAGG